AGUGAACGCUGGCGGUAGGCCUAACACAUGCAAGUCGAACGGCAGCACAGUACGAGCUUGCUCUUACGGGUGGCGAGUGGCGGACGGGUGAGGAAUACAUCGGAAUCUACUUUUUCGUGGGGGAUAACGUAGGGAAACUUACGCUAAUACCGCAUACGACCUACGGGUGAAAGCAGGGAUCUUCGUACCUUGCGCGGUUGAAUGACGCGAUGUCGGAUUGGGUUGGUGGCGGGGUAACGGCCCAACCAGUCGACGAGCCGCAGGUGGUCGGAGGGGAUGAUCAGCCACACUGGAACUGGGCCACGGUCCAGAGUCCUACGGGAGGGAGCAGUGUGGAAUAUUGGACAACAGUCGCAAACCUGGUCCAGCCAUACCGAGUGUGUGGAGAAGGCCUUGGGGGUGUAAAGCCCGUUUGUUGGGAAAGAAAAGCAGCAGGUUAAUACCCCGCUGGUCUGACGGUACCCAAAGAAUAAGCACCGGCUAACUUCGUG
rnacentral:rRNA from 1 species